AAAGUUGAGCUGUGUUGUUCUCAGUGAGUCGGGAGGAAUCGGCCACCUCAUUAGCAAAGCUGAAACUCAAAUCACUCCUGCAAGGGAUGUAUCCAGGAACACCGAUCACAGCGGCGCGUGCGCGCGUGCCAUCUUCAUCCGAGGCAGAGCCUGGUGGUCUGGAAGCCUCUUUGCUCGAGCUCUUCCACGAUCAUCAGAAUUCCUCCCUCAGACUCCGCGAACUCACCGAGAAUUCGAAGAAGGAAGCGAUCAGGAAGGCAUCGCGGGUUUCGGAUCUGUUGGUGGACGCCGUGAAUGGUGGGGUCCAGGAAUGCUUCAUCAUCGAGAAGCGAAUCGAACUCGAAAUUCGGGUUCUAGCGGCCUCCAUUGCCCGAUUCAUGAAGCAGACCGAUCAAUGGCUCACCGCCACUCAUGCUAUUAACACCGCCGUUAAGGAAAUUGGAGACUUUGAGAACUGGAUGAAGACCAUGGAAUUUGAUUGUAAAAGCAUCAAUGCAGCAAUCCACAAUAUUCACCAAGAUUAACUUCAUCAAAGCAUUUUUUGCAACACCACCUUGUAAAUUAUGAAAUUCCUUCUCGUGAUGUUCGAAAUACCAGACCUCAACCAUUGGAGAGAAUACCCCAUGCAAUUUAACAACCUAUUUAGCAGAGCCUGUAUCUGAGUUAGGGCGACACCAUGUGUGCAGUUUCACAAGUAAAUCCGGCCGUAGUCAGAGAAAAUAAUAGCAAACAUGUUAGCUAGAUUUCACACGCAUAAACCUCCCACGGAGAAACCAAGGUGGUGAAUGAAAUAUAGGAGCAGAUUUGGGAUACGCUUUGUUAUAGCUGUACUUCGCCAUUUUUUUUAAACUUUGAAGUUUUUUUUUUUUUUUUUUGGUUGUGUUAUUAUUAUUAUUAUUUUAUCUGCAAAGGUGAAUGAAAUGUUGCUUCAGGUUUGAGAUCUCUAAAGGAUAAAUUUUUUUUUAUUACUUUUGUAAAAAUUAUCGAUUAAACUUGAAAUUAGACAAAUGAAAUAUUGGAUAUGAUGCUCGUUCGGUUUUUUCUUUUUACCGGUAAAAAAUUUCAUCAAACUUUCUGGGGAAAAAAAAAAAAAAUCCUUCAUCAAACUUAGAUGAAGACUUUUUGUGUUUGGAUCUGGCCAUCUAUCAAUAGAUGAAGAACCUCUAAAAUAACUAACUUGAACAUACCUAUUUGAUGCAUUUUGCGAUCUGCUUCAUAAUAUAGAGCAGGUUUAGUAGUGUAUCUAGUAUAAUAUUCAAGCUCUAGCACUUAACGAUUGAGAAACCAUGCAGGAAAGCCAGAUCUGGAAUAUGAAAGAUCGUUCUUAAAAACGUACGAGUAAUUUUUUAAAAAAUUUUUAAAACUUUACUUUUUUUCUUUAUUAAAAAAAUGGUGAGCUGGAUAUUUUUUUAAUGACAAAAUAAAUGAAGAAACAGGUGUCAAAAAUUUUAACACGUGGCAAUAAACUAAUGAAGUGGCAUAAUCUGAUAUGAUACCAUGGUGGUACGCAAGAUUUUUUCGUGUUUAGAAUGUGACUUUUACGUUGUAGAGUAAUUGAUUAUGCUACAGUUAUUUGCUUUGACGGAGA